AGCUUUGCGCAGAGGCAGUGUCGCAUGCGAUGACGUGUAGCGGAGCAGCGACUAUUGCUAGUUGAAAAUUUAGUCAAAUUUAUAUUUAUUGGCUCUAAAAAACGCUACUCAGAAGACAUCUUUCACAGAU
rnacentral:snRNA from 1 species